AAAGUAAAGAGUUUAAACUUUUGUUCCUUUACAGCAAAUCAGAUAAGGUCUUCAUUAAUAACUAGGUAGAAGAAGGCAGUAACUUGUUGCGUGCACCACUUGGUGGUGUUAUAUGUUGAUUCACUGGUGGUCGAUAUUCAAGUACCUGAUUGCCCAGUCCGGGCAGAAGCGUGGGACAUCAAGCGCAUAGUGAAAGUUGCAAAAUCUGACAGGAAACCAGAGGGAGGUUACGGCAAGCUGAGACUAAAACAAAGAUUCACGAACAACAAGGCGUAUGGCCUUUUUGUUGGAUAUGAACAGACUGAGAAAUUCGUCUCUUCCAAGUUGCCACCUACAUUUAAAAAAGGCAAGAAGAGGAAGAUUUCAGCAAUGCUCAGCAAGUUAUGCUCAGAAUUUUCAGAAAACAUUGGCACCUUCAUUGAGUACAUUGGCAAACUGGACAGGAUGAGGUUGGCAGCUCAAAGAACAAUCUGAACAAGGCAAAGCGACAAAGGGCUGUAGGUGACCAAGGCACAGCUGUUGAGGAGGCUGAUAAUGAUGGAGGCACCUCGGAGGACGACGAAGAGUACUUGCCUAGCUCAGAGUCAGGGGAAGAUGAAGAAGUAGCAAGCACAGAUGACAGCUCUAUGCAUUUGUCGCCCCAAUACCAGCAGUUCCAAAGCAAAAUAAACUCAGACAAAGUAAAUUGGUUUCAAGGAGCAGGGCUUAUGCAACGACCAAGGAAGGUUCAUCAAGUGGGGCGGAGCCGGCCAAGGAGAGUGCAGAUCAUAGUAAGUAUGAAAGCCACACAAAGACGACAUGCAAGGUAAACCCGAGGGACCACAUGUCAAGCAAUGAAAACAGAGUGCAAAUUUACACAACUGCUAACAUACAUGGGUCAGGGAAAACUGGGCAUAGGAUAUCGAAAAGUGAGACUGAUGACACAACAACCUCGGAAUCAGGCGGCAACCACAUCACAAUCCUUGAUAUCAGCCCAUUAUCAUCAGCCCCACCUAUAAAACAAAGGGAUGAAACCUACUACACUCCUGCAAUCACGGAGUCGUGCCCAGCACCUAGCAGCAAAAACAAAGGGAGGACACCUACUCGAGAUCAAGCAGCACAAUCUGCAUUGCACACGAUCCAGGGAAAACUCUGUUUGGGUCCUUUGGCGAAGCAACAAGCAAUGCUGCGUGCACAAGUUGCAUCACCAAACCUGGGUCCUACAGCACCAUUUCAUGACAACAAACCAGCAGGAGUGACACAUGAUUGUCCAUCGUUCGACUUGAAUAGGAGCUUCCACGAAGACGAGAGCACCAAGAGGGUUGUCUCCGCAUCAAUGAAGCCACGCAACCUAGAUGUUUCUCUAGCAGAAACUGGAGAUGAUUGGGGGCUGGACCUGGACCUCGAGGUGUUGCAGGAAGUGUGUUAUAAGGCAGAAAUGGAGUUUGCAAAGAGAAAAGAAAAGGAAAGGUCGGAGAUGCAGGAGAGGACUGCAAAGCAAAGUCGAUACAGUGAUUAAGAUGUGAAACCCCAGCUCAAACAACAACAACAGCAACAGCAACAGUAGGCAUUGCUAGCUCAUCACGGACACAGCAGCUGCUGCACAUGAAAGGAGAGUUGUAAGGGUGCUAGCGCAACUGAGGUCACCAUACGUCGACCCUCAGAAUGCAGAUCCGUUCUACUGUUCAAAGGAAGUAUGCGACAUAUACGAUGCUGUGUGUCAGCACUCCACACCAAGAACCAGGAGCAAGGGGAAACUAACUGACAACAGUUUUCUAUAUCUUUGCCAAGAACUAUCCUACAGCAAACCAAUUAUAAACUAUGACGAGUUCUUCAUCAGCCGCAAUGAACUCACAAACUCCAUGGCUCCUGAAAAGGAGAUGGACAACCUAGUGGUUGAGACUGCAAUCAUUUCUUCGAGGGGACCAGAAAUAAGACCAAAUAAGAGAAAUAAGGCCAAAGAAGAGAAUAAUGCCACUACGAAUAGCUACAUACUUCCAGAACAACUAUUUCAACAGGAGUGACAUCGACAAACAUUUUGACAACAACACACACAGGCUAAACAGAUGUCAAUCAAUUUCAUUCCCAACACUUGAGAUUCUUGACAAGGAGAAUCCAAAAGAGACGGGGCACUACUGGGUGCUGGUGUUGAACAUUAGGACAAGCGCUUCAAAGUGCUAGAUUCAGCAAGGACACUGAAAGACAAGGCGUUCCUCGCAACAGCAUUGAAGAUCAUUGAUGGGAUUAAAGCAAAUUGGGGGAGGCACUACACCAGCUCAAGCGUGCAGAUUAACGAUUGGGGACUACAAGAAAUCAAAUCCCCUAGACAGGACAACGGAAACAAGGUACUAGACAGUAGGACAAUAUGCAAUUCAAGAGUCAGCAUCCAACCUUUUUUCCAUCUUUUUGCAAUCUAAAAGGAGGUGUACAGGUCUGGAGUAGGAGAUGCAAGAAGAAAGAACAUGUCAGAAGCCAGGGUAUUCGGCCCAAGAGGCAAUUUCUGCUAGUAGAUCAGGUGGUAGGUACAGAUAGGGAAAUCCAACAGUUCUAGAGCGAAGUUCAUGGAGAAUUUGCUGCCAAAACUUGCGUUACCUUCUGUUCUUCACACGGGGCAAACUUUGCCUGCUCUGGAUGGUGUUUUCUUGCACAGUUCCACAGUUUUUUUGCCUGACCAGAAACAGAAGAGUUGCAGUUCUCUGGA